rnacentral:lncRNA from 1 species
GUUGCUGAAUUACUUUUGGACAGGUAAGGUUGUUUUGUUGCCUGGGUGAUUGUGUUAUCUUUUAAAAUAGUGGAAGCAAUUCAAGCUAUUUGUCAUAUUAGCCAGAUGUUAACGUUAGCGAUACAUGUCGCAAAGUAUUUCUGUUGUUGGAUUAGCCCGAUGCUACUGUUGAUUCUCUUAGUGCGAGCUAGUUUAGCAGCUACAGUGUGUACAGUAUACAUGUGUGCGUGUUUGAGCGUGUGUGUUGUGUUUGCUUUCAGCAGGGCGGUCAACAGCUGUAAUGUAGGAUAUUUGUGAUUCUUUUUAGCUAUAACUGUGCUCCGUCGACUUCAACGCCGUGGAAGGACUCACUUGUGAGACUACCUAACCCCGCUGUGUCAACUGUUGCUCCCGAGUCACUGUCUGAGAGAGAUGAUAAUUUCUCCGUUGCUGGAGUCCAGGAGUUAGACAUUAGUGGUCCCAUAGAGACAGCUCUUCAGCAAUUGGAUUCAAGGUCAACUGCAGAGCUGGAGUCCUUUCAUAAUCACAUACUCAUGUAUGCAAGCAAGCGCUUCAGCUUCUCCCCACCAGUUUACGCAGCUCGAGCAAUGCUGGCUGGCCUGGACUACAACUACCACAUCCACAGACUACCAAAGAAGAACAAUGAUGGCUCCAUUCAAUAUUGCAGGUUGUUUAAUAAAAAAUCCAAGAAGUGGAGCCUCUACACAGUAAAAGAAGACAAAGACUAUGGCUACAUCCCAGACCUCCAGAGUGCAAUCCUUAGGAAAAGGUUGUCUGCUGUGGGAGGGUUGCCACGGACCAUAACAAGGAGGCC